rnacentral:piRNA from 1 species
UCAUGGUAUCGGUCACUGUUGGUCUAUCAU